GAUGAACGCUAGCGGCAGGCUUAAUACAUGCAAGUCGAGGGGCAGCAGGGGUAGCAAUACCCGCUGGCGACCGGCAAACGGGUGCGGAACACGUACAGAACCUUCCUUUGAGCGGGGAAUAGCCCGAAGAAAUUCGGAUUAAUACCCCAUAGUAUUUCGAGGUGGCAUCACCUUGUAAUUAAAGAUUAUCACUCAAAGAUGGCUGUGCGGCUGAUUAGGUAGUUGGUGAGGAAUGGCUCACCAAGCCUGCGAUCAGUAACUGGUGUGAGAGCACGACCAGUCACACGGGC
rnacentral:rRNA from 1 species